UACGUAGGGUGCGAGCGUUAAUCGGAAUUACUGGGCGUAAAGCGUGCGCAGGCGGUGAGCUGUGUCCGAUGUGAAAGCCCCGGGCUUAACCUGGGAAUGGCAUUGGAAACUGGCUCGCUGGAGUGUGGCAGAGGGGGGUGGAAUUCCGCGUGUAGCAGUGAAAUGCGUAGAUAUCAGGAGGAACACCGAUGGCGAAGGCAGGUCUCUGGGCUGACACUGACGCUCAUGCAUGAAAGCGUGGGGAGCAAACAGG
rnacentral:rRNA from 1 species